CUUCUCUCUUACUCGUUCUCUCUCCCCUUACCAUCUACUCUUCCUCCCCGAUCUCCCUCCACCCCCUGCUCUCGUUCGCGGCGCCGCCGCGAAUCGCCGCUGCGUAUCCUUGCUAUGGUAUCCUCAUCGCUGCUCCUGUCGAAAGCUCGCGGCAGUUCGGCAGUCGCCGAGGAAAUCUCGGCUGCGGCGGGCGAUGAGAGCGUGAUUCGGGAAGAUAAGCUGCGGAGCAUAAGGAAUCGUCAGCGACAUACGACUGGACCGAGGAAUGGUAUCCGCUGUACCUCGCGAAGCAAGUAUCGGACGACGCGCCGCUAGGGCUCACCGCGACAUCUGCCGCGAACCGCCGCUGCUCGAGCAGCACCAGCGGUCGUCGCCGCCAAUUGCACCUCCGCCGUGGUGGUUCUCGGCUAUUGCUGCCCCAUUUUCUUCUUCUAUUUUGUUCUUUUUCUUUACUUAUUCUAUGUUAAAUCCUUGUUCUAAUUCUUCCCUAACUAUUCCCCUAUUUCAGGAAUCGACCGAAUGUCGAACGUUGUCGAUUCGAGGGUGAGAAAUGAGCAAAGAGGUCUGGGCUCGCCCCUGCCUCACCCAGAGUCCAGACGGCCACCGUGAGCCGGCCUCGCCCAGCCAGAGCCAAAUUAGUGUCGGAUUUCUCCAAUUCUCUCUGGUGAAGGCUGCCUAAGAGAGGAGAUGUGGAGCCUGGGGAGAUUCCUACGUUGCUCGAUUUGGGGUUUAAUCCGAAUGCUGCAACGGGGCAGUUUCUCUACAGAUUGAAAUGGACGACGCAACACGCGAGAUUCUGCAACUGAUAGAUGGGAUUGUGGAAAGAGCCGCCGAGCUUGAUGCCAUGCUCGACUCUAAGGAAGAGUUGAUAAGGAAACAGGAGUCAAUUAUACGACAAUUAACUGAAGAGCUUGCGGAGGCAAAAGCAAAGAUUGCAGAGGGGAAAAAAAUGCGCAAGAGAAUACGUGAAACUAUUAUGGAAUGUGAUAGCGCAAGACCUUGGUGCACGUAUGCAAGCGGGCAGCAGGCUGUGGUCGAUUGGACGGCCAAUUAAAAGUGCAGCAGUUUCUGGUCAUCUUCUUUUCAUUAGUGUUGUAUAUAUUUUGUAGUUUCAGUUACACGAAUUAGAUUCAAGAUCAUCUAUGUGAUUGAGUGGUAAAAGUGAGAGGAAAAGUCUGCUGAUUUUGCCAGAUCUUGAGCUGUGAUUUGUAACCGAUCGAUUCUUGUUGUUAAUUAGUGAAGAAGAGAGCUCUGCAGUGGAUGUAUAUACUUAAAUCUUGUGUUCUUGACCUUGCUGGUAGUGAUGGGUUGGAAGAAACUCAGGCAUGAGAAUGACAGUAAUUUAUGUAUA